rnacentral:rRNA from 1 species
CCUACGGGAGGCUGCAGUGAGGAAUAUUGGUCAAUGGGCGCUAGCCUGAACCAGCCAAGUAGCGUGAAGGAUGACUGCCCUAUGGGUUGUAAACUUCUUUUAUAUGGGAAUAAAGUGCAGUAUGUAUACUGCUUUGCAUGUACCUUAUGAAUAAGGAUCGGCUAACUCCGUGCCAGCAGCCGCGGUAAUACGGAGGAUUCGAGCGUUAUCCGGAUUUAUUGGGUUUAAAGGGAGCGUAGGCGGGUUGUUAAGUCAGUUGUGAAAGUUUGCGGCUCAACCGUAAAAUUGCAGUUGAUACUGGCAGCCUUGAGUACAUUAGAGGUAGGCGGAAUGCGUGGUGUAGCGGUGAAAUGCUUAGAUAUCACGAAGAACUCCGAUUGCGAAGGCAGCCUGCUGGACUAUAACUGACGCUGAUGCUCGAAAGUGUGGGUAUCAAACAGGAUUAGAUACCCUAGUAGUC